rnacentral:SRP_RNA from 1 species
AGCCAGGCACUGUGCUCGUAACCGUCGAGGAACCCGCCAGGUCCGGAAGGAAGCAACGGUACUCGAAAGGUGCGGUGCCGCAGAGCGCCUGGCUUUC